UAAAUACUCCCUUUGUCCGGAAAUACUUGUGAUAGGAAUGGGUGUAUCUAGAUGUAUUUCAAUUCUAGAUACAUUCAUUUUUAUUCAUUUAUGUGAUAAGUAAUUUUAAACAAAGAGAGUAUAAA
rnacentral:pre_miRNA from 1 species